rnacentral:misc_RNA from 1 species
UCUCCGUUGGUGAACCAGCGGAGGGAUCAUUACCGAGUGCAAACUCAUAACCCUUUGUGAACCUAUAUCUGUUGCUUCGGCGGCUCGCUCUCGGGUGAGCCCGCCGGUAAUAUCAGUAUCUCUGUUUGAACCCGACAAUACUUCUGAGUGUUCUUAGCGAACAGUUAAAACUUUCAACAACGGAUCUCUUGGUUCUG